GUGCUAGCUGUGCGGCCCUCAGGCUCUGAGGGGCAUGAGUUUGCUGGCCUUGGAGAGGAAGGGUACAAGCGUGAGGUCCACAUCUUACCUUGGCAGGACUUCUUUGGGGCAGUGCAGGCCCUGCCCGUGGGGAGAUCUGCGGCAAGGUCUUGACCGAUGGAAGUUGCGAGUAACAGAAACCCACUCAAGUUAGCUUAAGCGGAGAGGGGGCUUCUCGGUAGGAUACUGGACUAUUGUGGACCCCAUGGACAGCCAGAACCCUCAAAGAACUAGAAUUAGUCCUGAAAGGGGGUCAGGCACCCUGGCAGUACUUUCUGUGUAUUUCGCACCUCUCCGUAUCCUUCUCCCUCUGCAGCCGGGCCUCGCCCAUUCCCUGUGGACAUGACCACCCCGCCAGCACCGGGGUUCACAUCUCCCUUGUUCCGGGGACCAGCUCAGGCCGUGCCCAGCCACCUCCCAGUUCUAACUCCAUAGAGAGAGAAUCUAAUUGGCCCUGUUGGGAACAGAUGUCACCCCUGGUCCAAUCAAGGGAGACCAAGGGGACAUCGCCAGAUACACCGCCCUCAAAUCCUCAGCUGGGCGUCUGCUUCUGGGAACCCAAACGAGGACAAGGACCCUGAAGUUUGGGGACAGGGACCCAGGAGUCACAUUAUUCUCUUAGGACACCUGUGCAUUCGUUCAUCCAGCCCCUGAAUAUUGACUGAGUAUCUACUCCGUGCCAGGGGGUGUGCUGACAAAUAUAGGAGAGAAAUAGGAAAAACCCGACAGUCUGAACAGCCAUAUAAAGAGAGAAGGGCUUUUUACAAGGAGAGUCUGGGAAGCCAAAGGCUGACUGUGGUAUUAUUUCACUGUAUAAAAACUAUGACUCACGGAGGAAAAGGGAACACGGAAUCCCAGAAUACGAUGGGCACCCCCUUUAAAAUCUGAGAGAGGUAGUUUAGGGCAAAUUAAAGGAAUUCUUCAUCCAACAGUGAAUAGCAAAUUUAUUCACCUCCAG
rnacentral:lncRNA from 1 species